AUUUUUCUGAGUUAGUGUGGCCUUCAUCUGGUAAUGUACUACCUGAGGGGGGAGGUGCCGCCUCUCUUUCAGCACCGUGCAACCAUUCAAGGAGGGUGUGUUGUUCACCACAUCUGCUUCCCACUGCCAAAUCAGGCCUCAGAAAAGCUUUCUGGAAGUGACGCCAGCUUCAGGGACAAGGCCCAAGUUUCUAGGGGUCAACACCGUUCCAUGGUUCCUGA
rnacentral:lncRNA from 1 species